CAAAGAUUAGAUGUCCAUAGGUGUGGGGAUUUAUUUCUGGGCUUUCAAUUCUGUUCCGUUGGUCUGUGUGCCUAUUCCAACCUUUGGGUCCAUGAUUGCUCAACAAUUUGUUUGGCUUUGUAUGUUAACUCUCUUUUCAGCCACCAGGUUCCAGAUGCCAUCAGGAUGCUGGUGGAAGCCAGGCUUCCCUGGAUUGAAGACCCCACCAAUGUGUCCUGAAGCUCAGCUUCCCCAGAGACACACCUUACUA